rnacentral:rRNA from 1 species
UAUGGCCUUUGGAUUGGACUGCGACCGAUCAGGCUGUUGGUGAGGUAAUGGCCCACCAAACCUGUAACCGGUACGGGCUCUGAGAGGAGGAGCCCGGAGAUGGGUACUGAGAAAAGGACCCAGGCCCUAUGGGGCGCAGCAGGCGCGAAACCUCUGCAAUAGGCGAAAGCCUGACAGGGUUAUUCUGAGUGACUUUCGCUAAGAAAGUCUUUUGACAUCUCUAAAAAUGGUGUAGAAUAAGGGGUGGGCAAGUCUGGUGUCAGCCGCCGCGGUAAUACCAGCACCCCGAGUGGUCGGGACGAUUAUUGGGCCUAAAGCAUCCGUAGCCGGUUUUACAAGUCCUCCGUUAAAUCCAACUGCUUAACAGAUGGGCCGCGGAGGAUACUAUAAGACUAGGAGGCAGGAGAGGCAAGCGGUACUCAGUGGGUAGGGGUAAAAUCCGUUGAUCCAUUGAAGACCACCAGUGGCGAAGGCGGCUUGCCAGAAUGCGCUCGACGGUGAGG